rnacentral:tRNA from 1 species
GAGGGCAUAGCUCAGUGGUAGAGUGCGUGCUUAGCAUGCAUGAGGUCCUGGGUUCAAGCCGCAGUCCCUCCA